GUGGAAUAGAGAGUAAAUUAUAUUUCUCUUUCAAAUAUUAGAGUAACUUUUAAAGUGUAUUUUUCUCUUUUUCUACAGUAAAUAUAGUAAAUAGGCAAAAAAACAAUUUUCUUUGACUGGCAUGAUUUCGGCUGAAUUUGGAGUAAACAAAAAUUUGGAGUAAACAUUUACUUCAAAAAUACCAUACACUUAAAGUCUAUGACUAUGUAUCUGACAAUUUAACCAAUAUAAAUAAUAAAUUUGUAUAUAAAAUAGUAUUAUGUAUUCUUCUAAAAAAAAUUUAGUUAGUGCAACAUUUUGAUGGAAGUUAAGAUUCAAAUAAUCAGCAGACUUUGUAGGUAUAAUUAUUUUUUUCUAACCAAAGUAAAUAAUAAAUUCUUCAUCAAUCUUGAUAAACACUAGGAAAUUUUAUUUAUAUGGUAUUUUAGUAGUAACUAAAGCAGACUUUAUAGGCAUAUAAUAAUUAAACUUAAUUUUUUACUUUUCUGAACGUACAAAACAAUUUGCGUUCGUGGAUGAAGUAUACUCCCUCCGUUUUUUAAUAUAAGUCGUUUUACAGCUAUGCACGUAGAUUAAGAAAACCAUUAAUUUCUUAUAUUUUCUAAACAAAAACAUCAUUAAUUAUUUACCUAACCACAAUUCAACCAAUAGAAAAAUAGAAGAUAUAUUACCAUUGGUUAUACAACAUUAAUUAUUAAUAAAUUUUAUAUAGAAAACCGAAAAAGACAUAUAAUUUGGAACAAAAUUUUUUCUCUAAAACGACUUAUAUUAAAAAACGGAGGGAGUAUUAAUUACUGGAUAAGUCAUAAAUAUGUUGGCUUUUAAAGGAUGGUAUGGGGCGUGAAAGCGCGUGCCCGUGCCGUUGCGGUUACGAAAGUCGAUCAGGAGAAGAGUUAAAAGCCGUCAUCGUUUGGAUUCCGUCACUUUCGCCGUCUGCUCCAACGCCAGGCAACAAGAAUGGCUAGGAAAGCAGAAUCAGGUUUGACCUCGUACUUUAGGUAAAUUGCAUUUGUGCCACUAAAGUGGGACCAACAUGAAGCAUGUGGGAAGUGUUUGGUCUCUUUUUCACGGUUUAACCAACUUACCCGCCACACUGGUUUACGCGCGUAAUUUCCAUUUUUUUUUAUGAUCUGUUUUUUUUGUAUUGUUAAUUUAGUGGAAUUUUAAACCAGAUUUGCAUCUUCACAUAUGGAGUUCGAUCAUAGACAUGGCAAGAGUAGUGACAUUAGAUGAUUAACUACUAUAUAACUCCACUGUCUAAUCAAUAACUAUGGACAAUUCUUUUGUUUUUAAAAAUAGUUAUGGACAAUAGAUAUGAUGUACUAGCUGAUGUAACAUUAGAUGAUUAACUACCAUCUAACGCCACGGUAUAACCAAUCACUAUGGACAAUUCUUUUGUUUUUCUAAAAUAGAUAUGGACAAUAUCGAUGUAAUAGAUGAUGUAAGGGUAGUCAGUAGAUGAAAGAAUCACAAAUCCAUAAAUAGAUUUUCUAUAUUUUCUUUUUACCCACCAAUCUUAUAGUAAUCUCAAUACAAUAUCUGUCAGAUAACUUUAUUUUCCAAACAUUUGCACCAUCUCUAGUAUCGUAUUGUAUGGAGUUUGUAUUAAUAUAACUGGGUUCUUUAAAUGAUCAAUAAUUUUUUUUUUCUAACAAAAACUAUUAUCGAUGUAGUCAUUCAUUUGGCGAUGAAUAAUGCCAAACAAUAUAUAAUAAGAUGAAAUAUUAGAAAGAUUAAAAGUCUAUACUCCGUGGUCCAUCUUUUAGUUUUACCAAUAAAUUACUUACUUUAUUGUUUAGUUCUGAAUUAAUCGUGUUUAAAAUAUAGUUAAAUAUGGCAGAAAACGUCACCUAUGACGUAUUUUUGACAACUUCUGCUCCCUUUAAGGAUAUAAAUAAACAAGAUAGCUUCGAACCCACCACCACCAUCUUCCGGAUUUUCUCUUUCUGAUUUUAGACUAUUGUAUUCUAUAUUUUCUAAUAUUAACUUGGUAUCUUGUCCCCGUAUAUGCUUAGAGCUUGUUCAAACGAAUCUCAAAUGUUUAGUAAGAAAAUGUAAAAAAAAGAAUAUUAACAGAUUUCCUCGGUCCUCCUAAGAAAUCAUACGUUAUAAUAUAACUGCCACAAUUUUGGUCCCAAAUGAGCGCAAUUCAUUUUUUGAGUUUUGGUUCAACUUUGGUAGUAUUAGGGGGUGUUAGUGGGGAUGAGAUUUAUAAUGAGUCUUAGAAUUUCUAAGUCUAGUGUUAUUGGUUUAUAGAUUCUCAUAUUCUUAUUGAAAUCUAUUGUUAUUGGUUUGAUGAUUCUAUGACUCUAUACAAAAUCAUUUGUUAUUCAAAAAGUUUAGAUUUUAAUGAUUCUACAAAUCUAUUAAAGUAAAUGUUAUUGGAAGUUGAAUUCUUAUCAUUUUAACUCACAAAUUAAGAUUUUGAGAAUACUACAUGUUUACCUUGAAUUCUUAGAAUCAUUACAUUACUUUAUUUUCAUAGAUUUUCACAAUAUACAAAAUUCUCUACAUCUCUUUCCAAAUUUAACAAAUCUCUCAACUUUUAAAAUCAACAAACUCUAUAGAAAUCUAAGUCCCACUAACACCCCCUUAUAGAUUUAUAAGAUGAACUCCAUCAUUCAUCUAUUUGUAUUAAUUGCUUCGGUUUUAACCCUAUAGUCAGCCGAUAUAGUUUAUCUUUAGUAUAGUGCAUGCUACUUAUUCAAAGCCUUGACGAUUUCAACUUAUCAUAUGUUUUGUAGAAAUUUUCGUAAAUGACUUCUUUAUUUGGCGAUUUAAUUUGCUGGUCUCGGGGAAAUUAGAAAUAGAAAUGCAUAUCAUUGUUUUUUUUUAUUUAUCUCCAAAAUCACUAGCAUUGACUUGGUGAUUCAUCGGUAAGAAGUUAAUUUCUGGAACAACAAGUCAAUGAAUCUCCUAAGAAAAAAAAGAGAGCUGGAAACAUGGAAUAUGCUCAAAGGAAGAGUUUCAUCUUAAUUUGAGAAUCAGGGAACAACGGAGCAGGAAUCAAAAAAAUUUGCUUUUUAAAUCUAUAAGUUUAGCGUGUAAUAUAAAUAUUUGAGUUUUUGCUAAAUUUGCUAGUUGAUUUGUUCAAUAUGCUUUGUUAAUUAUUAAGCUAUUUCUCUUGCAUAUCGACAAUUUGUGGUUAUGAUUCAUUAUUACAAGAUAACUAAAUUUUUUUGACGGACGCAUAUAUGGUUUUGAUUACGUAUUCAUCAUUCACAAGACUAAUAAAAAAACACAGACAAUUUAUAUUUAUCUAAAUUGUGAUUUUUCCUUUCUUAUUUUGGUUUUGACUUGAGUUCAUGGCAAUUUGGCAAAUAUCAUCCAAUUCACAGCAAUACGUAUUUGGAAGAUCGUUGAUUUGGAUAAGGGUUGUUCUCUGGCAGAAUUGAAGGCGUCCCUCUCUUUGGGAACUCUAUGAGAAGUAGAGAGUUACGAGUUUCUCUGUAUACGGAUUAGGUGCCCACGUGUUAUUAUAUUAUUCACCGUUUUGUUACCGCGUUUUAUAUAUAGAUAACACACAUUUUCGGUCGAGCUUAGCAUGAAUCAUGAUGUCAAUCUAUUAUUAUCACACAAUAAAACUUGAAAACUUUUGUAUAGUUAGAAAUUUAACAAAUUAAUUAUAUAUGUUCUACAAGUGGCCACGCAACAGGAAUGGUAUAGUAGGUUUUAUACGUACCCAAAGAGGACGAUAGUGGAAGGAUAAUUAGGGUUUAAACAUCUAUAAAUAAUUUGGCCUUAUAAUCCCCAACCAAAUUAAAAAUAUAAUUAGGAGUAUUAUAGUCUUAUAGAUCAUAAAAUGGUACAAAAAGACGAGAAAUUACCAAUCAACGUAUGGUUUUGUGUGAAUGAUUGUCUUUACACUAGUCAUUAUUGCGCCACAAUGGUUGGGAAAAGAAUUUUGUAUAAGUAUCUUUAUUGCUUGACACCUGUAAUUUUUUAUAAUGGAUAGUACUUUAUAUUAUGUAUAGUCAUAGAUGCUCGUGUGUGUGUAUUUUUAAAACUUAUGUUAUUUAAUCAAAGUGUCCUUUAGCACCCUCUUAAGGGCCAAGGGUCACAUUUCGGAUUAUUAGAUGAUUAAAAUCUUGCUUAAUUUUCAUAUUGAUAAUAUCGUAGUUGAUCAAGCAAUCUCGCCAUGAAAUGUUUAGUCAUUUAUUCAUUUAUUUGAAUCAAAUGUGUAGUCAAUAUAUAAACGAGGAUUCUAAGAUGCCGAUUCGAAUAGAAAACCGGAACUAAAUAUAAACAAUAAUUUAAUAAGUUUUAUACGUGUGAGCAACAACACUACCGAUAACUAGAUUUAUAUUGUAAAAUCAAAUGUUCCGAAAUAUGUAAUAUUUCAUACAUUAGCUACAUGUUUAUCUGUGAACAUGGAAAUAAUUUUGAUUUAAGAUUUUAAAACUCAGCAUAUAAAUGUAAUGAAUAAAAUCAAAUAAAAGGAAUAAAGAGAGGAAAUAGCAAAAGAUACAUAGUACUAUGAUUGGCUGGACAAAGAUAGAGUUUGCGCACCCAUGUGGAGACCAACUAUUUGAAUGUUUCAUGGCCUAUAUAUAUAUAUAUAUAUAUAUAUAUAUAUAUAUAUAUAUAUAUAUAUAUAUAUAUAUAUAUAUAUAUAUCUUUUGACAUCAGGUUUAUUGGCCUAAUGUAUAUCUACACAUUAUAUAAUGUAUUGUACGUUCUAAUCGCAAUUUAAUUCAUGUUGCAUGCCUACUGUGAGAAGAAUGACAAAUAAUGAAAUGACUAGAUUUUGACCCGCGCUUUGAGCGCGGGAUCAUUUUCGAAACAUUCCAAGUUUAUUUGAUAUAAAUUUGUAUUUUAAUUGUAUCUACACUUAGAUAUUACAAAUGGAACAUUAUAUUCAGUGUUU